CCUACGGGAGGCAGCAGUGGGAAUAUUGGACAAUGGGGGGAACCCUGAUCCAGCCAUGCCGCGUGUGUGAAGAAGGCCCUCGGGUUGUAAAGCACUUUCAGUGAGGAAGAACGCCUGGUGGUUAAUACCCAUCAGGAAAGACAUCACUCACAGAAGAAGCACCGGCUAACUCCGUGCCAGCAGCCGCGGUAAUACGGAGGGUGCGAGCGUUAAUCGGAAUUACUGGGCGUAAAGCGCGCGUAGGUGGCUUGAUAAGCCGGUUGUGAAAGCCCCGGGCUCAACCUGGGAACGGCAUCCGGAACUGUCAAGCUAGAGUGCAGGAGAGGAAGGUAGAAUUCCCGGUGUAGCGGUGAAAUGCGUAGAGAGCGGGAGGAAUACCAGUGGCGAAGGCGGCCUUCUGGACUGACACUGACACUGAGGUGCGAAAGCGUGGGUAGCAAACAGGAUUAGAUACCCUGGUAGUC
rnacentral:rRNA from 1 species